UACGGAGGGUGCAAGCGUUAUCCGGAUUCACUGGGUUAAGCGUGCGUAGGCGGCUCAGAAAGUUGGGUGUGAAAGCCCUCGGCUCAACCGAGGAAUUGCGCUCAAAACUACUGGAGCUUGAGUGAGAUAGGGGAGAGCGGAACUGAUGGUGGAGCGGUGAAAUGCGUUGAUAUCGUUUGGAACGCCAAUGGUGAAAACAGGUUGCUGGGAGUGCGCUGACGCUGAGACACGAAAGCCAGGGGAGCAAACGGG
rnacentral:rRNA from 1 species